CUCUAAACCUUCUGUAAUGUAGAUGCAAGGAGUCAGGAAGUGGAUGCAGAUGGUGAGUUUAAUAAUGAACAUGCAGAGUACAAAACAAGAGAAGCAUCUGGACAUGAAAACUUAACCAAUACUGACUGAAGAGUGAUGUGUGCCUCAUGAUGAGGUGCAGGUGUGCUUAAUGAGGGUUGCCAGGUGUGCAUCAUGAUGUGUUUUUACAGGUGUACAUCAUGAUGGGUUGCCAGGUGUGCAUCAUGAUGGGUUGCCAGGUGUGCAUCAUGAUGGGUUACCAGGUGUACAUCAUGAUGGGUUGCCAGGUGUGCAUCAUGAUGGGUUGCCAGGUGUGCAUCAGGAUGGGUUGCAGGGUGCAUCAUGAUGGGUUCCAGGACCGUGUUUAGUAAACGCAAACGUUGAGCCCUGGAGUGGGGUAGAGGGGCAGGCGGGGGGGUGGUCGGCAAAAGUGUAAAUCUCAGAUGUUGUUGGGUUCUAGAAUGUCAUCCACUGGAACCCCCCCCCCCCCCCCCCCCUUCCAGCUGAAAAGGUGGCGCAGGGAAUUCAAAAAUAUUCUUUAGAAAUAUUUAACUUUCACACAUUAACAUGUCCACUACCUCAAAUGAAGGAUAAACAUCUUGUUCAUCUACCCAUCAUGUCCGAUUUUUAAAAUGUUUUACAGCGAAAACACAACAUAUAUUUAUGUUAGACCACCACCAAAUCAAAUGGAAAACGCAGCCAUUUUUUCCAGCCAAAGAUAGAGUCACAAAAGUAGGAUUAGAGAUAAAAUGAAUCACUAACCUUUUGAAAAUCUUCAUCAGAUGACACUCAUAUAACAUGUUACACAAUACAUUUGUUUUGUUCGAUAAUAUGCAUAUGUAUAUCCACAAAUCUCGGUUUACAUUGACGCCAUGUUCAGAACUGCCUCCAAAAUAUCCUGAGGAAUUAUAGAAAGCUACGCCAGAUAACAGAAAUACUCAUCAGAAACUUUGACUAAAGAUACAUGUUCUACAUAUAAUUAAAGAUACACUGGUUCUUAAUGCAACCGCUGUGUCAGAUGUUUUAAAAACGUUACGGAAAAAGCCUAACAUUGCAAUAAUCUGAGACGGCGCUCAGACGUAAAAGUAUUUCUCCGCCAUUUCAACAGAAAUACGAAAUUACAACAUAAAUAUUCCCUUACCUUUGAUGAUCUUUCAUCAGAAUGUAGUGCAAGGAGUCCUAGUUCCACAAUAAAUCGUUGUUUUGUUCCAUAAUGUCCAAUACUAGUGUCCAAGUAGCUGCAUUUGCUAUCACUUUCAGCUCACGUGCCCAAAAACUGACUGCUGGUCCAGGAUAACUCGCACGAAAACUUCCAAAAUAUAUAUUCCAGGUCGAAUAAACUGGUCAAACUAAGUAGAGAAUCAAUCUUCAGGGUGUUAUUUUCAUAUAUAUCCAAUAACGUUCCAACCGGAUCAUACGUUUUCAGCUGCAGCCAAAUGGAACGGCGGUAGCACCCACAGAGAAAUGCGCCACAGGAAAAUGGCAUUCUGUCGGGACACUGACUAUUUCCCCUCCCAUUCGGUCAAAGUUCACAGCAAAUGC
rnacentral:lncRNA from 1 species